UGGGGAAUAUUGGACAAUGGGGGAAACCCUGAUCCAGCCAUGCCGCGUGUGUGAAGAAGGCCCUCGGGUUGUAAAGCACUUUCAUCGAGGAAGAACGCCUAACGGUUAAUACCCGCUAGGAAAGACAUCACUCGCAGAAGAAGCACCGGCUAACUCCGUGCCAGCAGCCGCGGUAAUACGGAGGGUGCAAGCGUUAAUCGGAAUUACUGGGCGUAAAGCGCGCGUAGGUGGCUUGAUAAGCCGGUUGUGAAAGCCCCGGGCUCAACCUGGGAACGGCAUCCGGAACUGUCAAGCUAGAGUGCAGGAGAGGAAGGUAGAAUUCCCGGUGUAGCGGUGAAAUGCGUAGAGAUCGGUAGGAAUACCAGUGGCGAAGGCGGCCUUCUGUACUGACACUGACACUGAGGUGCGAAAGCGUGGGUAGCAAACAGGAUUAGAUACCCAAGUAGUCCCUGAGCGGGCUGGCAAGGCGCAU
rnacentral:rRNA from 1 species